GACGAACGCUGGCGGCGUGCUUAACACAUGCAAGUCGAACGGAAAGGCCCUGCUUUUGUGGGGUGCUCGAGUGGCGAACGGGUGAGUAACACGUGAGUAACCUGCCCUUGACUUUGGGAUAACUUCAGGAGACUGGGGCUAAUACCGGAUAGGAGCUCCUGCUGCAUGGGGGGGGUUGGAAAGUUUCGGCGGUUGGGUCUGGACUCGCGGCUUAUCAGCUUGUUGGUGGGGUAGUGGCUUACCAAGGCUUUGACGGGUAGCCGGCCUGAGAGGGUGAACGGCCACAUUGGGCCUGCGAUACGGCCCAGACGCCUACGGGAGGCAGCAGUGGGGAAUAUUGCACAAUGGGCGGAAGCCUGAUGCAGCAACGCCGCGUGCGGGAUGACGGCCUUCGGGUUGUAAACCGCUUUCGCCUGUGACGAAGCGUGAGUGACGGUAAUGGGUAAAGAAGCACCGGCUAACUACGUG
rnacentral:rRNA from 1 species